rnacentral:rRNA from 1 species
AGCGGCGGACGGGUGAGUAACGCGUGGGUAACCUGCCUCAUACAGGGGGAUAACAGUUGGAAACGACUGCUAAUACCGCAUAAGCGCACAGUACCGCAUGGUACGGUGUGAAAAACUCCGGUGGUAUGAGAUGGACCCGCGUCUGAUUAGCUAGUUGGUGGGGUAACGGCCUACCAAGGCGACGAUCAGUAGCCGACCUGAGAGGGUGACCGGCCACAUUGGGACUGAGACACGGCCCAA